rnacentral:rRNA from 1 species
CUACGGGUCGCUCCAGUGGGGAAUAUUGCACAAUGGAGGAAACUCUGAUGCAGCAACGCCGCGUGGAGGAUGACACUUUUCGGAGCGUAAACUCCUUUUAUAUAGGAAGAAGAUGACGGUACUAUAUGAAUAAGCGCCGGCUAACUCACGUGCCAGCAGCCGCGGUAAUACGGAGGGCGCAAGCGUUACUCGGAAUCACUGGGAGUAAAGAGCGUGUAGGCGGAUUAAAAAGUCAGAAGUGAAAUCCUAUAGCUUAACUAUAGAACUGCUUCUGAAACUCUUAAUCUAGAAUAUGGGAGAGGUAGAUGGAAUUUCUGGUGUAGGGGUAAAAUCCGUAGAGAUCAGAAGGAAUACCGAUUGCGAAGGCGAUCUACUAGAACAUUAUUGACGCUGAGACGCGAAAGCGUGGGGAGCAAACAGGAUUAGAUACCCGCGUAGUC